UAAAUAUUUAUGGUGGUGUCACAAAAUCGGAGGCCCCGACUGUUUACUAAAAACACAAUUCAGAGCAAUGAUGUAAAUCAUAGUAUUCUGGAUGAAAUUUGCCCGAUGCCAUUAACAUAAAAGAGGUAAUGGGAAACUGUUACUAAUUGAAAGUCUGGUUAAUAGCGGUCUUAACUAUGAGGAUCCUAAGGUAGCAAAAUCAGUUGGCCAUUAAAUGUGGUCUGGUAUCAAUAGUGUAACGAUGGUCUCACUGUCUCUACAACUUGCUCAGUGAAAUUGAAUUAUCCGUGCAGAUGCGGAUUGCCUCCAGGUGGACGGGAAGACCC
rnacentral:rRNA from 1 species